AAUCUCUGAUCAAGCCAUCAGUCUUUGCCAGUAACAAGGAAGUAAUGAGAAAAUAUCAAAGGAAGGAAGUAGCAAAGGGAACACUUCCUGUUAACUUCAACACAUCAAAAACCUUUAUGUAUGCUCAUGAAAGGGAGUAGAAACACUUUUCUUAACAUUUCAGUUCAAUGGUGUUUAAUUUUAAAUGAAAGUACCUUAAAAGAAAAUCAAGCUUUACUUCAGGAUAUUGCUUCUUCAUGCUGCUUAUUUUCUUUUGAAUUUUGGACAUGCAUCAUGCACAUCGCAAUCUUCUUAUUCUGACAUGCGUCUCGCCAGGCACAACAGAAGGAAUUUCCUUUUUUCCCUCUCUCUCUCUUUAUUAGAAAUGUGGUUUUGGCAACAGUUUUUCAUUCAUUGCUUUGGAUACUGGACUUCUG